AUACGGAGGAUCCGAGCGUUAUCCGGAUUUAUUGGGUUUAAAGGGAGCGUAGGCGGGGGUUUAAGUCAGCUGUGAAAUGCCGUGGCCCAACCAUGGAACUGCAGUUGAAACUGGACCUCUUGAGAGUACAUAAGGAAGGCGGAAUUCGUGGUGUAGCGGUGAAAUGCAUAGAUAUCACGAAGAACUCCGAUUGCGAAGGCAGCUUUCCGGGGUACAUCUGACGCUGAAGCUCGAAAGUGCGGGAAUCAAACAGGAUUAGAUACCCUGGUAGUCCGCACCGUAAACGAUGGACACUCGCUUUUGGCGAUAGACAGUCAGGAGCCAAGUGAAAACGUUAAGUGUCCCACCUGGGGAGUACGCCGGCAACGGUGAA
rnacentral:rRNA from 1 species